GUAGUUGUGGUGGAGUGGUGAAGAUGAUGGAUUAGAAAUCCUUUGGGGUUUCCCUGUGCAGGUUUCAAUCCUGCCAACAAUG
rnacentral:tRNA from 1 species